rnacentral:rRNA from 1 species
GGAUGAGCCCGCGGCCUAUCAGCUUGUUGGUGAGGUAACGGCUCACCAAGGCGACGACGGGUAGCUGGUCUGAGAGGACGACCAGCCACACUGGGACUGAGAUACGGCCCAGACUCCUACGGGAGGCAGCAGUGGGGAAUCUUGCGCAAUGGGCGAAAGCCUGACGCAGCGACGCCACGUGGGGGAUGAAGGCCCUCGGGUUGUAAACCCCUUUCGGCAGGGACGAAGCGGUUCCGUGACGGUACCUGCAGAGGAAGCCUCGGCUAACUACGUGCCAGCAGCCGCGGCCGA